AGCAGCCGCGGUAAUUCCAGCUCCAAUAGCGUAUAUUAAAGUUGUUGCAGUUAAAAAGCUCGUAGUUGAAUUUCGAGACCGGUUUACUGGUCGUGCUUUUGUACGUACUGGUAUAAUCGGUUUCUCUUUUCUGACGAACUAUAAUGCCAUUAAUUUGGUGUUAUGGGAAAUCAGGACUGUUACUUUGAAAAAAUUAGAGUGUUUAAAGCAGGCUCACGCUUGAAUACAUUAGCAUGGAAUAACGGAAUAGGACGUUUGAUUCUAUUUUGUUGGUUUCUAGGAUCGACGUAAUGAUUAAUAGGGAUAGUUGGGGGCAUUAGUAUUCAAUUGUCAGAGGUGAAAUUCUUGGAUUUAUUGAAGACUAACUACUGCGAAAGCAUUUGCCAAGGAUGUUUUCAUUAAUCAAGAACGAAAGUUAGGGGAUCGAAGACGAUCAGAUACCGUCGUAGUCUUAACCAUAAACUAUGCCAACUAGGGAUCGGAUGAUGUUAAUUUUUUAAUGACUCAUUCGGCGCCUUAC
rnacentral:rRNA from 1 species